rnacentral:lncRNA from 1 species
AUGCAGUCCUUUCUUUCAGGGUUGAGGCGGUUCAAGCCAGCUCAGGUGCUCCUCAGAGUCGGUCUAAGCUGCAGGCUGGAACUGGCUCCUCAGUGCCAGAGGAAGAAAAAUGAAAGGGCUGUCUUGACCAAGCACCACGCGGGGCAGGCCCAAUGCCACCAUGGUGUCCAGCCCUUAGCACCGGAAGAGGCCUUGUCUGAAGCGGGUGCGGCCCUGUCCCGCAGAGAGGAAUCAGCCGCAGGUCCAGACUCCAGCCCGAGGGAGGUGCCGGGAGUCCAGCAGCCGAGGAGCGUGGCCCAGUGGAAACUUUCACAUGUUCCCAACAGAGAGAAAUACAGAAGCUCGAGGUGAUAGAUGUGCCAAUUAGCCGGAUCUCUACGUGCUGUAUACCUGUAUGGAAAGACCACAACUCCCCAUAAAUAUGUACAAGUACUUUGUAUUAAUUAAAAAUAAAAUUAGAAAUCCUGAGAGGUUGUAUGUAAUAUUAUAUUUCAUCAUUCUGACAGAUUUAAAGCAUGCAGCAUACUGGCGUUAACGAUCUUCACAUUUUUAUAUAACCUCCACCAAUUUCCUUCCAUAGAAUAAUUUUCACCUUGCAAAAUGAAAACUACCAUUUGCAUGUCAAUGUUUUUAUUAAAGUCAAUGUGUUUCACUUUCAACUGGUUGAUUUUUCUCCUCGUUAGAGGUCAUCCUUUUCUUCUCUGUACUCAGAUUUUAGG